AAAAGAGUGGAGAUGUAUGUGUUUUAAGCAUGUGCCUACUUUAGAUUGUCUUUUUUCUUUUAUUGGUUUUGUUAAAAAAAAAAAAAGGACAUUUAUUUCCCACACAAUCACAAAAAGGAAAGAAAGAAAGAAAAAGCUUGGCAAAGCAAUAUUUUGUAUUCAUUUCAGGAACUCUCAACCUGAUCGAGAAAAAUGAUGGAACAUCUUCUCGUCUUCAGGUGCCCAAGACGUAUUUAGUCCCUGAGAAUCGUCCUAAGAGAGGCAUUUUCCGGUUAGCCUGCAGCUUCAGGAAGACCCGGCACAGGAGAGAGGCUGGCAGAGCUGAAAGCUCAGAGGAUGACAUCGGACUUGCCGGGGCGCGUAGAGGACAGUGCUGGGCUGCUGAGUGAACACAAACAAUGGAGCUUACCCAAGAAGAAUGUUGAAAGUUGCCCUUGGUUGUUUCACCCAAGUUCAUCCGGCUGUUGAGAAGUGGCAGAGGAAAUAUGUCAGCCAGUGGUGUUGACAAAUGUUGGUUUACGGAGAGUUCGGCCAAGUUCAGAGGAUAUUUGACACGCAUGGCUCGCCACCCGCUUCUCAGGACCGGGAAAAAGGAACCACAAAUAUCUCAUCAUGUCCCUAUGCCUUGGUCUCCUCAUCUGUAAAAGAGAGUGACAAAGAACUAGCUCACCAUGUUUGAGGAUGCAGCAAGCUGGUAGAUUGGCCUUUGGGUUUCCGUGUUUCAGGACUCUUUGGGCCACAGGAUUGAAAGCAGGAGUUCUUCAAGAUCGUUCUCUCUCCCUUUCUGGCCUGGCAUUAGAGAAGAUUGUGCUAAUGGAGGAAGGAGGCAGCCGGGGGAGGCUGGGGAGCAGAAGGGCCCCAGGGAGGAGGCAGAGCUUCCCUGGACCCAUGGACCCCCAUCUUCUGCAGAGGCCACGGCCCAGGAACAGGUGAGCGGCUGGCCUGUCAGGACCUUGGGCUGUGAGAACAUCAAUACCCAGAGGCCCUUCCAUGACCCCCAGGUGGGUAGUGCCACUGUGCUUCCAGGAUGAGCCUCGCUCACUU
rnacentral:lncRNA from 1 species